rnacentral:rRNA from 1 species
GACGUAGGGCGCGAGCGUUGUCCGGAUUUAUUGGGCGUAAAGAGCUCGUAGGCGGCUUGUCGCGUCGACUGUGAAAACCCGCGGCUCAACCGCGGGCCUGCAGCCGAUACGGGCAGGCUAGAGUUCGGUAGGGGAGACUGGAAUUCCUGGUGUAGCGGUGAAAUGCGCAGAUAUCAGGAGGAACACCGAUGGCGAAGGCAGCUCGCUGGGACGUUACUGACACUGAGGCGCGAAAGCGUGGGGAGCGAACAGG